rnacentral:tmRNA from 1 species
GGGGCUGAAUACAGGAUUCGACGGGGUUUUAUAACAUUUUAAGUGCAUGUCGAGGUGAGCAGGACUCGUAAAAAGCUCAAAAAAAUAAUUGCAAAAAAUAAUGUAAAAUAUGAACCUGUUGCUUUAGCAGCUUAAAAUCAGGUUAAAAACUGAAGGUUCCUUCUUGGUUUAAGUUAUGUGCUCUAAAACUUAACAUUUAAGUAUUUUUUUAAAGAUUUUUCUGCAAAAAAAUACAAACAAGAAGUCAUGUUAGAGUGAGAAUUGCCACUUUUCUGUUAUCCUAGACAAUUAAAGUGUAUAUCUAUAUUAUAUUAAUUAUAGGAUUUUUAUUAGAAAAAAGUUCAUUGGAAACUAAUAAAAAAUAAAAAUUAAAUGAACUAAACAUGUAGUACUAGAGAUGAUUAAAAAUUGCGGACGCGGGUUCGAAACCCGCCAGCUCCAAUC